rnacentral:rRNA from 1 species
AGUGAACGCUGGCGGUAGGCCUAACACAUGCAAGUCGAACGGCAGCACAGGAGAGCUUGCUCUCUGGGUGGCGAGUGGCGGACGGGUGAGGAAUACAUCGGAAUCUACUCUGUCGUGGGGGAUAACGUAGGGAAACUUACGCUAAUACCGCAUACGACCUACGGGUGAAAGCAGGGGACCUUCGGGCCUUGCGCGAUUGAAUGAGCCGAUGUCGGAUUAGCUAGUUGGCGGGGUAAAGGCCCACCAAGGCGACGAUCCGUAGCUGGUCUGAGAGGAUGAUCAGCCACACUGGAACUGAGACAAGGUCCAGACGCCUACGGGAGGCAGCAGUGGGGAAUAUUGGACACUGGGCGCAAGCCUGAUCCAGCCAUACCGCGUGGGUGAAGAAGGCCUUCGGGUUGUAAAGCCCUUUUGUUGGGAAAGAAAUCCAGCUGGCUAAUACCCGGUUGGGAUGACGGUACCCAAAGAAUAAGCACCGGCUAACUUCGUGCCAGCCGCCGCAGUAA